UAAUUGAAGAGUUUGAUCAUGGCUCAGAUUGAACGCUGGCGGCAGGCCUAACACAUGCAAGUCGAGCGGCAGCACAGAGGAACUUGUUCCUUGGGUGGCGAGCGGCGGACGGGUGAGUAAUGCCUGGGAAAUUGCCCGGUAGAGGGGGAUAACCAUUGGAAACGAUGGCUAAUACCGCAUAACCUCGCAAGAGCAAAGCAGGGGACCUUCGGGCCUUGCGCUACCGGAUAUGCCCAGGUGGGAUUAGCUAGUUGGUGAGGUAAGGGCUCACCAAGGCGACGAUCCCUAGCUGGUCUGAGAGGAUGAUCAGCCACACUGGAACUGAGACACGGUCCAGACUCCUACGGGAGGCAGCAGUGGGGAAUAUUGCACAAUGGGCGCAAGCCUGAUGCAGCCAUGCCGCGUGUAUGAAGAAGGCCUUCGGGUUGUAAA
rnacentral:rRNA from 1 species